GUGUGAAUCUUUUGAGUUAAAAAUGGGGAUUUCUACACAAUACCUUUUGCCAGAAAAGGUGUUUAUUUGUAAGCUCAAGGCUUGUGUGAAACUGCUAUGCUUCCCAGAAUCAUUUACUUUAUCCCUGUGGUGUCUCAUUUUGUCUGAGUAGGUGUUCAUUUUGACAAAUUUUGAUUCAGCUAUAAAGAGUUACUGGUCUUUUUGGUAA